rnacentral:rRNA from 1 species
UACAGAGGUCUCAAGCGUUGUUCGGAUUCAUUGGGCGUAAAGGGUGCGUAGGCGGCGCGGUAAGUCGGGUGUGAAAUCUUGGAGCUUAACUCCGAAACUGCAUUCGAUACUGCCGUGCUUGAGGACUGGAGAGGAGACUGGAAUUUACGGUGUAGCGGUGAAAUGCGUAGAUAUCGUAAGGAAGACCAGUGGCGAAGGCGGGUCUCUGGACAGUACAUGACGCUGAGGCACGAAGGCCAGGGGAGCAAACGGG